AGAAGAGAUAGGACUGUGAAGUCUUACAUCACGUAUUCAGGAUAGCUACAUAUACCUGGUGUAGUUUUGGUGUUCGGGGAUGGAAAAAUCAUGUUCGUUCAUCUUCGUUUUCUGCCACAAGAGGAGAGAGCGCGAGAACGAAUGUGGUUCGAAACACUCGGCUAUUAGAUGCAACAGUCGUGGCGUGUGUGCUGAGCUUAUUUUGCUGCCGAUGACUACGAAGAAGAUGCCGUAGACGGCGAAUUGCGAAGGCGUCCGAAGCAAACUGCCGUUCAGUAACCAGUGAUUUUGCUUCACCGAGGUGGCUAGUUCAACACAACUCUUUAGGGGCCUUCCAGUGGCGCCGGACUGCUACGUGUUGUGUGAUCCAGGCACUCAAGUUGACACGACAGAAAUAGCUGAAAGCAGCAUGCAUGAAGAAAAGUUCUCAUCCUCAUCAAGAUGACAGGUCACUGUUGGAUCUGCAGCAUUAUUGUCCCUGCAGUCUUUUCACCAACAGAGAAUACAAAAGUGCACAAAUGGUGUUACAACUCUAUCAAGUACGUCGAAACAUCAGAGGGCAGGAAGUCCUACUCUUU